UGGUUGUAUGGAACAGGGGUGUUGGGU
rnacentral:piRNA from 1 species